GCCCAGAUGGCGGAAUCGGUAGACGCGCUGGUCUCAAACACCAGUGUCAGCAAUGACAUGCCGGUUCGAUCCCGGCUCUGGGUACCA
rnacentral:tRNA from 1 species